CGGGGGUUGGCGUAGUGGUAGCGCGCUCGCUUGGGGUGCGAGAGGUCGUGGGUUCAAUUCCCACACCCCCGA
rnacentral:tRNA from 1 species